CGCUCUGAUUGUGACACGGGAAAGGGUUGUAUUUAGUAUAUAGAGUCUUUGUGACUAUUUGUAUUUACUUUUGAAAAUGUACCUUUAUAAAGAAGAUUUAUUUUGUAUAAAACGAGUUUUACUAAGUAAUUAACUUAGUAUUAUUUUCGUAAAGAGGAGUGUAAUAUCUCGAACCAACAAUUUAUCAAUCAAUUGAUUUAAGUCCAGAACUUUAUUUUAUCCGCUACGUCGUUUUUGAGAAAAGAAAUUUUUAAGCCAUAAUAAAGGCAUUAAUGGGUUUGGGUGUUACAAGAAGAAACAUGAAGGCCAAGUGAAGGAACACGAAUCAAAAGAGAGAGAAUUUGAAGGCAAAGUGAAGGAGCUGGAAUCUAAAAAGAUGGAGUUUGAAAGCCAAGUCAAGCAUUUAGAGUCAAAAGAUAACCAACUUGUAUGCCAAAUGAAGAAGUUUGAAUCAAAAGAGAGGGAAUUUGAAUGCCAAAUGAAGGAGCAGGUAUUGAAACAUAAGCAUUUCGAAAGCCGAAUGAAUGAGCUUGAGUCAAAAGAGAAGAAAUUCGAAGGUCAAAUGAAGGAGUUGGAAAUUCAAAAGAAACACUUUGAAAUCCGAAUGAAGGAGUUAGAGUCAAUUGAUAACCAACUUGCAGAACGAGUGAAGGAAUUUGAAAGCCGAAUGAAGGAGCUUGAUUCAAAAGAAAAGCAGUUCGAAGAACAAAUGAAGGAGUUUCAAUCAAAAGAGGAGGAAUUUGAAGAACAAGUGAAGGACAUUAAAACAAAGGAGGAGGAACUUGAAUCAAAAAAGAAGCACUUUGAAGGACGGUGGAAUGAAAUUGAGUCAAAAGAGAAGAAGUUCAAAGUAAAGGUGAAGGAGCUCGAGUUAAAAGAGAAGCAGUUUGAAGGACAAGUCAAAGAAUUUGAAUCAAAGCUGAAUAAAUAUGAUGGACAACUGAAGAGGCCUGAGCCAAGGAAAAUAUAUAUAUUGAGAAAGAAAAAGAAUCGGAUUUUGUUAAGAAUCUUAUCAUGAAGAAGCAAUUUGUUGCAGCUGUUAGAUUCAGUUGUGCAUAUAACUUGAACGACAAGAACCAAUUAGUUGAUAUGCUGCGAGAAUACGUCCAUACUGUCAAACUGAUUUGUGAGAGCAGUUGUGAGAAAACCAACUCCAUAGAAAUCAAGGAUAAGGCCAGAGAUCAAGAAAUUGCUAGUCUGGGAACUGUUCUACAGUGCAUUUUGGAUUGCAACCUACAAUCUGCGGAUAUGCUUGAUAAGGAGAUUAAAUUUCGCAUUCUUGAGCUAAAAGUAAUUAAAGGCAAUUAGUUUUUGUACUGGAACAACCUAAUGUAAAGAAUUGGGGUAACGGAAACAUGCUAACUUAUAGGUUACUUUUGUUGGGGUACGUAUUCACGUGUAAAUGACUCUAACACAAAUGACUUUAACACGACGCUCU